rnacentral:rRNA from 1 species
AUAUCAAUAAGCGGAGGAAAAGAAACCAACAGGGAUUGCCCUAGUAACGGCGAGUGAAGCGGCAAUAGCUCAAAUUUGAAAUCUGGCCCUUCCAGGGUUCGAGUUGUAAUUUGUAGAGGAUGCUUCGGGCAAGGCUGCGGUAUAAGUUCCUUGGAACAGGACGUCAGAGAGGGUGAGAAUCCCGUCUGGUACCGUACGUUGCGUCCAUGUGAGGCUCCUUCGACGAGUCGGGUUGUUUGGGAAUGCAGCUCAAAAUGGGUGGUAAAUUUCAUCUAAAGCUAAAUAUUGGCCAGAGACCGAUAGCGCACAAGUAGAGUGAUCGAAAGAUGAAAAGCACUUUGAAAAGAGAGUUAAACAGCAUGUGAAAUUGUUGAAAGGGAAGCGCUUGCAGCCAGACUUGCGGGCGGUGAUUCAGCCGUUAUUCUUAACGGUGCACUUUGCCGUUCCCAGGCCAGCAUCGGUUUAGGGAGUUAGUUAAAGGCCUUGGGAAUGUAUCAACCCUCCGGGGUUGACUUAUAGCCCAAGGUGCCAUCUGGCUUUCCCGGACCGAGGUACGCGCUCUGCACGGAUGCCGGCGUAAUGGCUGUAAGCGACCCGUCUUGAAACACGGACCAAGGAGUCUAACAUCUAUGCGAGUGUUCGGGUGUGAAACCCCUGCGCGUAAUGAAAGUGAACGGAGGUAGAAACCCCUUGGGGUGCACUAUCGACCGAUCCUGAUGUUCUCGGAUGGAUUUGAGUAAGAGCAUAGCUGUUGGGACCCGAAAGAUGGUGAACUAUGCGUGUAUAGGGUGAAGCCAGAGGAAACUCUGGUGGAGGCUCGCAGCGGUUCUGACGUGCAAAUCGAUCGUCAAAUAUGCGUAUAGGGGCGAAAGACUAAUCGAACCAUCUGGUAGCUGGUUCCUGCCGAAGUUUCCCUCAGGAUAGCAGUAACGUUUUCAGUUUUAUGAGGUAAAGCGAAUGAUUAGAGGCCUUGGGGUUGAAACAACCUUAACCUAUUCUCAAACUUUAAAUAUGUAAGAAGCCCUUGUUACUUAAUUGAACGUGGGCAUUUGAAUGUACCGUUACUAGUGGGCCAUUUUUGGUAAGCAGAACUGGCGAUGCGGGAUGAACCGAACGUGAGGUUAAGGUGCCGGAAUACACGCUCAUCAGAUACCACAAAUGGGGCGUGUUUCGGUUAAGCUAUCCAAUUAGUUUUAACUGUGGUAUCGAUCCCGGACCCAAAGCACCGGGAGCAGCCUCUUUGAGAGGUAAGGUCUUUCCUGUGAGGGGACGGUUUUGUUAUGUACAAGCCUGUCCUCAACCGUGCACUGCACUGCGGCUCACAGAUCAAACGAAGGCCGGUGGUGACAUUGGACACUACUCUAGAUAUGAUCGGCCCUGGAACGUAAGUUUCGGCGACCAGCGCAAAAGGUGUUAGUUCAUCUAGACAGCCUGACGGUGGCCAUGGAAGUCGGAAUCCGCUUAGGAGUGUGUAACAACUCACAGGCCGAAUGAACUAGCCCUGAAAAUGGAUGGCGCUCAAGCGUGUUACCCAUACCUCGCCGUUAAAGUUUUAAGGAGGCUUUAACGAGUAGGCAGGCGUGGAGGUUUGUGACGAAGCCUUGGGGGUGACCCCGGGUCGAACAACCUCUAGUG